rnacentral:rRNA from 2 species
CAAAACGACUCUCGGCAACGGAUAUCUCGGCUCUCGCAUCGAUGAAGAACGUAGCGAAAUGCGAUACUUGGUGUGAAUUGCAGAAUCCAGCGAACCAUCGAGUCUUUGAACGCAAGUUGCGCCCGAAGCCUUCGGGCUAAGGGCACGUCUGCCUGGG